UACGAAGGGGGCUAGCGUUGUUCGGAAUUACUGGGCGUAAAGCGCGUGUAGGCGGGUCUUUAAGUCAGGGGUGAAAUGCCAAGGCUCAACCUUGGAACUGCCUUUGAUACUGGAGACCUUGAGUCCGGGAGAGGUGAGUGGAAUUGCGAGUGUAGAGGUGAAAUUCGUAGAUAUUCGCAAGAACACCAGUGGCGAAGGCGGCUCACUGGCCCGGAACCGACGCUGAGACGCGAAAGCGUGGGGAGCAAACAGG
rnacentral:rRNA from 1 species